GGAUAUUGAAGUAAAAAUUACAUUUAGUUUCGACCUAAAAAUCAGAGUAUGUACUCCUUAUCUA
rnacentral:tRNA from 1 species